AGAGUUUGAUCAUGGUUCAGGAUGAACCGCCGCCGCUGUGCUUAAUACAUGCAAGUCGAACGCGUUGGCCCAACUGAUUGAACGUGCUUGCACGGACUUGACGUUGGUUUACCAGCGAGUGGCGGACGGGUGAGUAACACGUAGGUAACUUGCCCCAAAGCGGGGGAUAACAUUUGGAAACAGAUGCUAAUACCGCAUAACAAUUUGAAUCGCAUGAUUCAAAUUUAAAAGAUGGCUUCGGCUAUCACUUUGGGAUGGACCUGCGGCGCAUUAGCUUGUUGGUAGGGUAACGGCCUACCAAGGCUGUGAUGCGUAGCCGAGUUGAGAGACUGAUCGGCCACAAUGGAACUGAGACACGGUCCAUACUCCUACGGGAGGCAGCAGUAGGGAAUCUUCCACAAUGGGCGCAAGCCUGAUGGAGCAACACCGCGUGAGUGAAGAAGGGUUUCGGCUCGUAAAGCUCUGUUGUUAGAGAAGGACGUGCGUGAGAGUAACUGUUCACGCAGUGACGGUAUCUAACCAGAAAGUCACGGCUAACUACGUGCCAGCAGCCGCGGUAAUACGUAGGUGGCAAGCGUUAUCCGGAUUUAUUGGGCGUAAAGCGAGCGCAGGCGGUUUGAUAAGUCUGAUGUGAAAGCCUUUGGCUUAACCAAAGAAGUGCAUCGGAAACUGUCAGACUUGAGUGCAGAAGAGGACAGUGGAACUCCAUGUGUAGCGGUGGAAUGCGUAGAUAUAUGGAAGAACACCAGUGGCGAAGGCGGCUGUCUGGUCUGCAACUGACGCUGAGGCUCGAAAGCAUGGGUAGCGAACAGGAUUAGAUACCCUGGUAGUCCAUGCCGUAAACGAUGAGUGCUAGGUGUUGGAGGGUUUCCGCCCUUCAGUGCCGCAGCU
rnacentral:rRNA from 1 species